UCCAGAUUUCUACAGACUAGCAAGCUAGAAGUUGCCAGUUCGAAUCCCCGCUGGUAUGUUUCCCAGACCAUGGGAAACACCUCUAUCAGGCAGCAGCGAUAUAGGAAGAUACUGAAAGGCAUCGUCUCAUACUGUGUGGGAGGAGGCAAUGGCAAAGCCCUCCUGUAUUCUUCCAAAAGAAAACCACAGAGCUCUGUGGGCACCAGGAAUCAACACUGACUCGACGGCACAACUUUACCUUUACAGCACUUCAGAUUGUUUUCCUGUACUGUUCACUACAGAAGCCUCUACCAAAGACAACCACAGGGCUCUGUGGUCGCCAGGAGUUGACACCGACUCGACAGCACACUUCACCUUUACAGAAGCCACCUUGAGUAUUCUUUUUAGAAUGGAAAUGCAGGGUGAAAUAAUGUUUGUGUACACACACACACACACCCCUACCCCUACCCCCUAAAUAAAUACUUUUCUCCA